rnacentral:rRNA from 1 species
CGCGUAGGUGGUAGUGCAAGUCUGGGGUGGAAUCCCAGGGCUUAACCCUGGAACUGCCUUGGAAACUGUAUUACUUGAGUCAGUGAGGGGAGGGUAGAAUUCCUGGUGUAGCGGUGAAAUGCGUAGAUAUCAGGAGGAGGCCUGUGGCGAAGGCGGCCCUCUGGCGCUGAACUGACACUGAGGCGCGAAAGCGUGGGGAGCAAACAGGAUUAGAUACCCUGGUAGUCCACGCCCUAAACGGUGGGUACUAGGUGUAGGGCUCGUAAGGGUUCUGUGCCGAAGCGAAAGCAUUAAGUACCCCGCCUGGGGAGUACGGCCGCAAGGUUGAA